rnacentral:rRNA from 1 species
UAUGUAGGGGGCAAGCGUUGUCCGGAUUUAUUGGGCGUAAAGAGCGUGUAGGCGGUCAGGUAGGUCCGUUGUGAAAACUCGAGGCUCAACCUCGAGACGCCGAUGGAAACCAUCUGACUAGAGUCCGGAAGAGGAGAGUGGAAUUCCUGGUGUAGCGGUGAAAUGCGCAGAUAUCAGGAGGAACACCGGUGGCGAAGGCGGUGGUCUGGGCCGGAACUGACGCUGAGGAGCGAAAGCGUGGGGAGCGAACAGG